rnacentral:rRNA from 1 species
UACAGAGGGCUCAAGCGUUGUUCGGAUUCAUUGGGCGUAAAGGGUGCGUAGGUGGCGGGGUAAGUCAGGUGUGAAAUCUCGGGGCUCAACCCCGAAACUGCACUUGAUACUGCCUUGCUCGAGUACUGGAGGGGAGAUUGGAAUUUACGGUGUAGCAGUGAAAUGCGUAGAUAUCGUAAGGAAGACCAGUGGCGAAGGCGAAUCUCUGGACAGUUACUGACACUGAGGCACGAAGGCCAGGGGAGCAAACGGG